rnacentral:rRNA from 1 species
CCAAUAGCGUAUAUUAAAGUUGUUGCAGUUAAAAAGCUCGUAGUUGAAUUUCGGGAUUGACGUGACGGUCGUGCCUUACGGGGUAUGAACUGUCGCCGUUGAUUUCUCACCUUCUGGAGAAGCUCGAUGUCCUUAAUUGGGUGUCUUGCGGAACCAGGACCUUUACCUUGAAAAAAUUAGAGUGUUUAAAGCAGGCAUUUUGCUCGAAUACAUUAGCAUGGAAUAAUAGAAUAGGACGGCAUGGUUCUAUUUUGUUGGUUUCUAGGAUCACCGUAAUGAUUAAUAGGGAUAGUUGGUGGCAUUAGUAUUCAAUUGUCAGAGGUGAAAUUCUUGGAUUUAUUGAAGACUAACUACUGCGAAAGCAUUUGCCAAGGAUGUUUUCAUUAAUCAAGAACGAAAGUUAGGGGAUCGAAGACGAUCAGAUACCGUCGUAGUCUUAACCAUAAACUAUGCCGACUAGGAAUCAGACGAUGUUAAUUUUUUAAUGACUCGUUUGGCACCUUACG